rnacentral:rRNA from 1 species
CGGCGGACGGGUGAGUAACACGUGGAUAACCUACCUAUAAGACUGGGAUAACUUCGGGAAACCGGAGCUAAUACCGGAUAAUAUAUUGAACCGCAUGGUUCAAUAGUGAAAGACGGUUUUGCUGUCACUUAUAGAUGGAUCCGCGCCGCAUUAGCUAGUUGGUAAGGUAACGGCUUACCAAGGCAACGAUGCGUAGCCGACCUGAGAGGGGUGAUCGGCCACACUGGAACUGAGACACGGUCCAGACUCCUACGGGAGGCAGCAGUC